CCAUGUUGUCAUAGUUUCCAGUAGUCAGAGAGAGCCAUAUACGACACAAGUUAGUCCAACUUCUAUGGUUGUGACGAUCUCUCGAUGAAGACCUCGAUUACCCUUGUCAUUGGAUCCCAUGCACUGCAAAAUUAAGUCAAUGACGAAUCCUGCGCGCCGUGCUAACUAGGCCUUCCUCUAAUUGCCGCACUAGCUUAUGUGACAAGGGUCAUUGACCAAAGAGUUAGUGACAGACACUCAAGGUACAGUCAUGUAUAUUGCUCAUGCUUAUGAGAUGAAGUUCUAUCUCUUCCCCUAACCUGAACUCUCGUCCGUGAAAAAUAGCGUAAGAUCUACUAUGAAGAAAUUUCCCUGCAUUCCCAUGUCAGAAGGCCAGAGGGGUCCUUAAAGAAUUGGCCGGUCGCUCACCCAAUGGCUCCAUUAAUGUCGUUCUCGAAACAAUUACUACAACCCCCUUUCUGAAGGGGUCUACAAGGUCUGCCUUCCGUAGGGGAACCUGCGGAAGGAUCAUUACCGAGUGAGGGCCCUUUGGGUCCAACCUCCCACCCGUGUUUAUUUUACCUUGUUGCUUCGGCGGGCCCGCCUUUACUGGCCGCCGGGGGGCUCACGCCCCCGGGCCCGCGCCCGCCGAAGACACCCCCGAACUCUGUCUGAAGAUUGAAGUCUGAGUGAAAAUAUAAAUUAUUUAAAACUUUCAACAACGGAUCUCUUGGUUCCGGCAUCGAUGAAGAACGCAGCGAAAUGCGAUACGUAAUGUGAAUUGCAAAUUCAGUGAAUCAUCGAGUCUUUGAACGCACAUUGCGCCCCCUGGUAUUCCGGGGGGCAUGCCUGUCCGAGCGUCAUUGCUGCCCUCAAGCCCGGCUUGUGUGUUGGGCCCCGUCCUCCGAUUCCGGGGGACGGGCCCGAAAGGCAGCGGCGGCACCGCGUCCGGUCCUCGAGCGUAUGGGGCUUUGUCACCCGCUCUGUGGCCCGGCCGGCGCUUGCCGAUCAACCCAAAUUUUUAUCCAGGUGACCUCGAUCAUUACGAGAACCCCAACCAACGUCUUUA
rnacentral:rRNA from 1 species